rnacentral:rRNA from 1 species
UUAAAUUGAAGAGUUUGAUCAUGGCUCAGAUUGAACGCUGGCGGCAGGCCUAACACAUGCAAGUCGAACGGUAACAGGAAGAAGCUUGCUUCUUUGCUGACGAGUGGCGGACGGGUGAGUAAUGUCUGGGAAACUGCCUGAUGGAGGGGGAUAACUACUGGAAACGGUAGCUAAAACC